rnacentral:rRNA from 1 species
UACGGAGGGGGCUAGCGUUGUUCGGAAUUACUGGGCGUAAAGCGCACGUAGGCGGCUUUGUAAGUUAGAGGUGAAAGCCCGGGGCUCAACUCCGGAAUUGCCUUUAAGACUGCAUCGCUAGAAUUGUGGAGAGGUGAGUGGAAUUCCGAGUGUAGAGGUGAAAUUCGUAGAUAUUCGGAGGAACACCAGUGGCGAAGGCGGCUCACUGGUCCAUUACUGACGCUGAGUGCGCGAAAAGCGUGGG